rnacentral:rRNA from 1 species
CACGUGGGCAAUCUGCCCUGCACUCUGGGACAAGCCCUGGAAACGGGGUCUAAUACCGGAUAUGGCUGUCCAUCGCAUGGUGGAUGGUGUAAAGCUCCGGCGGUGCAGGAUGAGCCCGCGGCCUAUCAGCUUGUUGGUGAGGUAGUGGCUCACCAAGGCGACGACGGGUAGCCGGCCUGAGAGGGCGACCGGCCACACUGGGACUGAGACACGGCCCAGACUCCUACGGGAGGCAGCAGUGGGGAAUAUUGCACAAUGGGCGAAAGCCUGAUGCAGCGACGCCGCGUGAGGGAUGACGGC